UUCUGCCACAGAUAUAGAGGACACGCAAUCAGAAGCUGGAUCUGGAGUCGAGUCUUUCUGGCUAGAGAGUCAAACCAUACAAACAGAUGUUAGCGCUGGAGAAACCGAGGCUUGGAGAAGUACAGAGCUUUGCCCAACACAGGAAGAUUGGCAGUGACGGAGCCAGAACUUGAAUACAGUUCUGCCUGUCUGCAGUCACCCUGCCCUGAGGUCCUCACUGAAAGGUCAGGCGCAGCCAGACUUGAAGUCUGCAGCAGUGAGUCCAGCGGGGGAGUGUGGAGUUGGAGAAGCUCAUUAGCAGAGAAGCUGACACAGCCGUCAAGAGCCCAGCCUUGGCCAGCCCCGCCGACUCCCAGCUACGGUGUAAACAGCCUUACUAAUUCUCCAGACUCAAUCGCUGUCCCUGAUGGAUUUCCCGUCAUUACUCCUGAGACCACGGGUCACAGCUCUUAGUCCCACCCUGUCACCGUGGCCAUCAUCGUCAUCAUCUCCCUCACCUGGGCUCGUCUUGGGUUACUGCCAGCGACACUCUUCCUCAUUCUGCUCCCCGCAGAAAGCACUUCUCCUGAGUAUACAUGGGGCUUUCGGUGAUGUUAUCCCACCCGGCCGAUGCUGCUGCCUGGAGAGGUGAGCCUGGCUCCAGAAAGGGCCCAGCUGACCUGGAUGUUCGUUCCACAGAGACGGACCACAGAAAGAGCAUCAGUUAGGACAGGGAGCUGGAGCAAGCAGAGGGGCUCUUGUGGGUAUAGAGAGGAGAUGAGGGAGGCUUUUGCAUAACUCUCCAUUUGUCCCAGAGAAAUGAGUAUAGUCGACCUUGGGUCCUCGGAGGGACUGCUUCACCACUGGUUGCCUAAAUCUAUGGCUGUCCAAUCCUUUGUAUAAAAUGUUGUAGAAUUUGCAUAGAGCUCUAGCAGUCCUGCAGCAUAUUUUAAAUCAUGCCCAGAUGACUUAUAAUGCCUAAUACAAUGUAAAUGCUGUGUAAAGAGUUGCUGCACUGUGUUGUUUAGGGAAUAAUAGCAAGGGAAAUCGUCUCAACAUGUUCAGUAUAGAUGUAAUCUCCCCCACAAAGAUUUUCUAAUCAAAGAUUGUUGAAUCCACAGAUGUGCAACCCAUGGGCAUAGAGG